AUUGAACGCUGGCGGCAUGCCUUACACAUGCAAGUCGAACGGCAGCAUGGAGAGCUUGCUCUCUGAUGGCGAGUGGCGAACGGGUGAGUAAUGCAUCGGAACGUACCGUGUAAUGGGGGAUAACGUAGCGAAAGUUACGCUAAUACCGCAUACGACCUGAGGGUGAAAGCAGGGGAUCGCAAGACCUUGCGUUAUACGAGCGGCCGAUGUCAGAUUAGCUAGUUGGUGAGGUAAAGGCUCACCAAGGCGACGAUCUGUAGCGGGUCUGAGAGGAUGAUCCGCCACACUGGGACUGAGACACGGCCCAGACUCCUACGGGAGGCAGCAGUGGGGAAUUUUGGACAAUGGGGGCAACCCUGAUCCAGCCAUGCCGCGUGAGUGAAGAAGGCCUUCGGGUCGUAAAGCUCUUUCGGCCGGGAAGAAAUCGCACAGGCUAAUACUCUGUGUGGAUGACGGUACCGGCAUAAGAAGCACCGGCUAACUACGUGCCAGCCGCCGCGGUAAAAC
rnacentral:rRNA from 1 species